rnacentral:rRNA from 1 species
UAUUGCGCAAUGGACGAAAGUCUGACGCAGCGACGCCGCGUGGAGGAUGAAGGUUUUCGGAUCGUAAACUCCUGUCAAGAGGGAAGAAACCUAUUAAGAAUAAUACUCUUAGUAAUUGACGGUACCUCUAGAGGAAGCACCGGCUAAUUCAGUGCCAGCAGCCGCGGUAAUACUGAAGGUGCAAGCGUUAAUCGGAAUCACUGGGCGUAAAGCGCUCGUAGGUGGCUUUGUAAGUCAGAUGUGAAAGCCCACGGCUCAACCGUGGAAUUGCAUUUGAUACUGCAUCGCUAGAGUAUAGGAGAGGGAAGUGGAAUUUCUGGUGUAGGAGUGAAAUCCGUAGAGAUCAGAAGGAACACCAGUGGCGAAGGCGACUUCCUGGACUAUUACUGACACUGAGGAGCGAAAGCGUGGGGAGCAAACAGGAUUAGAUACCCUGGUAGUCCACGCCGUAAACGAUGGGUACUAAGUGUCGGAGGCUUGACCUUCGGUGCUGUAGUUAACGCGUUAAGUACCCCGCCUGGGGAGUACGGUCGCAAGGCUGAAACUCAAAGGAUUUGACGG